AACAGGGGGCAUCCACCGCAAAAAAGAGUGAGCCGGCGGCGCCAGGAAGAGCGCGGCCGGCAAAC
rnacentral:ncRNA from 1 species